CGCUCUGCAGCCGGCAGCCCCGGCUGGGCGCUGAGGUGAGACUCAGAGAGCUGGACCUGGGCCGGGCCUGCUGUGAUCAGUAACUGGUGAUCAUGUAGACGCUAGAGAUGGGCACAAAACCAAAGCCCAGACCUAGCAUCUGCAAACUUGGGUGACUGUCAGAUUCUGGUCCCUAUUUAAAGCGCGUCAGGAGCCUGCCAUGAGGGCAUCACACACAAGCUAAUGGCACCCAGUGCAGAACUCUGAAGAGACCUCCAUCAGCAGGACUUGCAGGAGAGGAAGUAAAAAGUGCCCCAUUUUUGGGUUAACAAGGGAUAUCCAAAUGUGGAGGAGCACAUUCCAAGCAUCUGGAUCCAGGGAACACAGUCUGAGCCAGGAUCGGAAACGCCAAAGAAACAAUAAUUCAUUCACCAUUCAUGUAUUGUCUUUUUCUUUACUAUGUAUAGUAUGAGAAUCAUAUGAUGCCAUCUUAUACAAUGUGGGAGAAGAAAACAGCUUUCACAAAAAGGACGCUGUUGAUACUCCUGGCAGGCCUGAGAAGUACUGAUAACUUACAGACUGAAACAACACUGCAUUUACUUGGUACUGUACAUUAAUUUUAGUUUGCGCCAUGUUUUUUAUUUGUGUUUACAGUAAUGCUGAAUUGAUUAUAAUUUUGUAUUUUGCGGAAAAUGAAAUACAAUUUAAGGGACAAAAAAAAUUGUUCAAAUGUUUUUGCUAGGAAUCUAAGACUUUAGCAUGAAUUACAGCAACUGUAGCCCACUUUGAUCAUUCAGAGCAGUAGAAAAACUCCACUUAACUUAAAUGGGCGUUGGAUCAGGCCCUUAAU